CCCUCCGGUAGGUGAACCUGCGGAGGGAUCAUUACCGAGUUAUACAACUCAUCAACCCUGUGAACAUACCUAUAACGUUGCCUCGGCGGGAACAGACGGCCCCGUAACACGGGCCGCCCCCGCCAGAGGACCCCCUAACUCUGUUUCUAUAAUGUUUCUUCUGAGUAAACAAGCAAAUAAAUUAAAACUUUCAACAACGGAUCUCUUGGCUCUGGCAUCGAUGAAGAACGCAGCGAAAUGCGAUAAGUAAUGUGAAUUGCAGAAUUCAGUGAAUCAUCGAAUCUUUGAACGCACAUUGCGCCCGCCAGUAUUCUGGCGGGCAUGCCUGUUCGAGCGUCAUUACAACCCUCAGGCCCCCGGGCCUGGCGUUGGGGAUCGGCGGAAGCCCCCUGCGGGCACAACGCCGUCCCCCAAAUACAGUGGCGGUCCCGCCGCAGCUUCCAUUGCGUAGUAGCUAACACCUCACAACUGGAGAGCGGCGCGGGCACGCCGUAAAACACCCAACUUCUGAAUGUUGACCUCGAAUCAGGUAGGGAAUACCCGCUGAACUUAA
rnacentral:rRNA from 1 species